AUUUCCUGUAUAGUACAGAAGCAUCACACAGCACAGUAACUUUGCCUGUGCUUCUUGAGUGUAGGGUGUGAAAUUAAGAUCUAGAUUUGAGACAGAACAUACAACAUUUCACUCAGAGGGAGGGCUACCAAUAUGCUGAUUGCCAGGCUGCUGAGGACAGUCAUAACCUCCAUCUGUCUUGGAUCCAGCAUGGCCCAGAAGGUGACUCAAGCUCAGACUGAAAUUUCUGUGGUGGAGAAGGAGGACGUGACCUUGGAUUGUGUGUAUGAAACCCGUGGAAAUACUUAUUACUUAUUCUGGUACAAACAACCACCAAGUGGAGAAAUGAUUUUUCUUAUUCGUCAGGACUCUUAUAAUGAGCAAGAUGAAACAAAGGGUCGGUAUUCUCUGAACUUCCAGAAAUCUACCAGUUCCAUCAACCUCACCAUCACAGCCUCACAGCUCAUGGACUCAGCGGUGUACUUCUGUGCUCUGAGUAAGGCCACAGUGAGAUAG